rnacentral:rRNA from 1 species
UACGUAGGGGGCAAGCGUUGUCCGGAAUUACUGGGCGUAAAGAGCGCGCAGGCGGCUGGUCAAGUCCGAUGUGAAAGCUCCCGGCUUAACUGGGAAAUUGCAUCGGAAACUGAUCGGCUUGAAGGUGGGAGAGGGUAGUGGAAUUCCCGGUGUAGUGGUGAAAUGCGUAGAUAUCGGGAGGAACACCAGUGGCGAAGGCGACUAGCUGGCCCGCUCUUGACGCUGAGGCGCGAAAGCUAGGGGAGCGAACGGG